AGGUCUAGGCCCAUGCCUUUCCAGGAUCCAUUUCAGCAUUAGGCUGUAUCACUGAGAGGAUAGCUGUGUUCUGACCGUCAGGCAGGUGUCAUUACUGCACUUCAUUUGCAAGCAUUCACUGCAGAGGACCCAGUGGUCAGAAAGUGAUGCAAUGCAACAUAACUCAUUUGCACCUUGAUGGCCUAAGGCUUCCAGCAUCUGAGCGGUGUGGACCUCCCUGUGUUUCUCCGAGGAGAACGUUCUUCCUGUGCCUUGAGGACGUCCUUGCCUGCUCUGAUGGG